rnacentral:misc_RNA from 1 species
CUGGCCACUCCACCCCGCCACGGCGGCCUCGAUCUUGUGCACGGCUCGUUGCCGGCGCUCGGACCCGGUUGCGGCGCCCGCUCGUGCCCACAUCUUCGUCGAUGUCUUGUUCCCGUGCUGCCAGCGUCCGAAGGAUUUUCGUCGAUGCCUCGUUGGAUCUGCGACGCGUUUGUCCUUCUUGAGGCACGUCUGUCGUCCGUCCGUCCGCCCUCAUCAUCGAUGGCGGCCUUUGGAGGUGACGUGGACCAACCACCCCAGGAGCCUCGUUGUAUCCCCAGGCGCCCCUCGCUCUGUACCCCACCGCUGGGCGCUGGCGGUGAAUCUAGCGGCCCGCGUGGCAUGGGGACGAGCUCCGCUCGAAACGGCAGCAGUGGCACAGCCAGCAUCGCCUCCCCGCUCGUUAGUAGUUACUAG